UUGAUUCCUGAGCUACACCUUAAUAUUUCUUUGGACCAGUUAUGAGAACUCUAUAUCCCUCAUAUUUUUAAGGUGGAGUCAUAGGAAAUUAAAGCUUAGUAAUGAAAGUAAAAGUCUUAAUAGACGUGCUGAAUAGUUCAAUGUAUACUACUGAAAAGUUACUUGUAAGCUAAAGAAUGUAUGAGGAUUAAUUUAAAAUGGGGUUAAAAAAUGGGAGUUAGAGUAAGAGGCCUGGAUAUAUCAGUUACUGAUUAUUAUGUUGUAAAUAAAGCAUCUUUUCCAAACAAACUUAAACAAUAAGAUCUUUUGUUUAAUACAACCAGAAGGAAGAUUGAUUCCAGUGGCUCUGGGUCUGUUUCUGUGUAAUUCAUUCAGCGAUGCCCCCUUUCUUUGGACUUCACCUCCAGAUUUUUAUAAAUCAAAAUAAAAUGCUGCAGUGCCUUUCAAGAAGAAAGAAUAUUAUUUGGAAAUUAUUUUGUAUCCUGUGAAAAAAUAAUGAUAAGCUUUAUAUUAUUAAGGUAGGUAAAUUUUUAUUUAAUUGGUCAGAUUUUGACUUAUUGCUCUAGAAUUUUUUUCAGAAAGCAAAUAUAUAUAUAUAUAUAUAAUUUACAGCUUAAGUAUCAACAGACUAUAUGUUAUACAACCUAGCUAAUUGAUAGAAUAUUUAUUGCUAUACUGCUUUAUAGUUUUUCUGCAGCCAUGCUGAACAAAGAGUUUCCUUUUUUUUUCUGUUUAACAUUUGCUUCACUUCUGAUGGAAUUCAGUACUGCUUUGGUAUCUAAGUAUGGAAAUUUGGGCUGGCUUGAAUGCGUUGAGAUUUGGUAGUAAAUCCACCCAUUUUACUACACUUGAGAUAGUGUUUGUGACUUUAAAGGAGUGUUAACUUUGUAUGAAUAAAAGGAUAUGAUGGCCAUGUGGACAAAAAAAAAAAAAAAA